UAAUUUGUAACCUACAUAAUAAGCCUCAUGUAACCACAUGUGACCUGCAUACCUCUGACAGCAAUGGUGCAAGUAUAAUUGCUGGAAUCUCCUAACACCUAUGCCACUUCACCCUGAAACUUAGGUGCACUGAAGUGCAAGAACAAGAUUUUAGUAUGGAAAGGCCAUUUACAUGAGAUGUUGAUGGGAAGAACUAUUUACAUGUUUUUUUGAUAUAGCUGGGGAAACCUUAACCAUAGAAGGUGCUCAUUGCUCAAAGUGGGAAAAAGUCACAGAAAAGGAAGUUGUUGAAUUUUAAGGAGGAAAAUGAACGUCCUGGAACAGUCGUCGCAUUGGUCUGCUUGCUGUUAUUAAUGAGGGUAUUGUUUGACAUUAAUAACAAGGGAAAGGAUUGUUUAAGUAGAAUGUUUUAGCAACUGCAACAAUUGAUUUAAUGCAGAUUGAUUUCACAUUUCACACCAUGUAGGAGUUCAAUGUUAUAUCUAAUUAUUACAUUUAAAUAAA